rnacentral:rRNA from 1 species
UACGGGGGGAGCAAGCGUUGUUCGGAUUUACUGGGCGUAAAGGGCGCGUAGGUGGCUCUGCAAGUCGGUGGUGAAAGCUCGAUGCUUAACAUCGAGUCGGCCAUCGAAACUGCAGGGCUCGAGCACUGUAGGGGCAGAUGGAAUUCCGGGUGUAGCGGUGGAAUGCGUAGAGAUCCGGAGGAACACCAGAGGCGAAGGCGGCCUACUGGGCUGCACCUGACGCUGAGCCGCGAAAGCCAGGGGAGCGAACGGG